ACGAACGCUGGCGGCGUGCCUAAUACAUGCAAGUCGAGCGGACAGAUGGGAGCUUGCUCCCUGAUGUUAGCGGCGGACGGGUGAGUAACACGUGGGUAACCUGCCUGUAAGACUGGGAUAACUCCGGGAAACCGGGGCUAAUACCGGAUGGUUGUUUGAACCGCAUGGUUCAAACAUAAAAGGUGGCUUCGGCUACCACUUACAGAUGGACCCGCGGCGCAUUAGCUAGUUGGUGAGGUAACGGCUCACCAAGGCAACGAUGCGUAGCCGACCUGAGAGGGUGAUCGGCCACACUGGGACUGAGACACGGCCCAGACUCCUACGGGAGGCAGCAGUAGGGAAUCUUCCGCAAUGGACGAAAGUCUGACGGAGCAACGCCGCGUGAGUGAUGAAGGUUUUCGGAUCGUAAAGCUCUGUUGUUAGGGAAGAACAAGUACCGUUCGAAUAGGGCGGUACCUUGACGGUACCUAACCAGAAAGCCACGGCUAACUACGUGCCAGCAGCCGCGGUAAUACGUAGGUGGCAAGCGUUGUCCGGAAUUAUUGGGCGUAAAGGGCUCGCAGGCGGUUUCUUAAGUCUGAUGUGAAAGCCCCCGGCUCAACCGGGGAGGGUCAUUGGAAACUGGGGAACUUGAGUGCAGAAGAGGAGAGUGGAAUUCCACGUGUAGCGGUGAAAUGCGUAGAGAUGUGGAGGAACACCAGUGGCGAAGGCGACUCUCUGGUCUGUAACUGACGCUGAGAGC
rnacentral:rRNA from 1 species